UGCUUGGCUAAUGCUAGCUUUCUAUGUCC
rnacentral:piRNA from 1 species